AGUUGGAAGUCUAGUUGUUAGGGCAUUUGGCUACCAACCUGAAGGUUGCAGGUUCAAUUCCUGCCCACACUU